UUUUUAAUAAAUUUUUGCUCCACGCGAGAAACAUGACGCACGUGCGCGGUAUUUAUUAAACAAUGUUUCUCAUUUUUGACGUUUGCGGUAAGUUAUAGCUUGCGCGCAGUACUCACGCGUCUAGCGGCGGCGUUGCGGUGGAAAAGGUACCGCGUUGUGAAAGGGGUCGAAACCGCGGUAGAACUCGUGUUGGUGCCGGUAGAGAGGGAACGGAGGUAACGCGUGGAAAACCCGUCUUUGUUGUUGAGCGGGAGAGUACGUGGUACGGUGCGGUAUCCGUUAUCAGGAGCGGUGGAAAAGAGUGUACGGAGGUGUUUAUGGUGGAGCUGGGAGGGGCGAGAAUAAGGGACGAAGGCGGGAGUAACAUGUCGGAUGCGAUCAUACAAGCACUAAAGCACCGGAUCCCAUCAGAACUCCGAAGUUAAGCGUGCUUGGGCGAGAGUAGUACUAGGAUGGGCGACCUCCUGGGAAGUCCUCGUGUUGCAUUCCC
rnacentral:rRNA from 1 species